UGCAACUCGCCUGCAUGAAGUCGGAAUUGCUAGUAAUCGCAGAUCAGCAUGCUGCGGUGAAUACGUUCCCGGGCCUUGUACACACCGCCCGUCACACCAUGGGAGUCGGUAACACCCGAAGUCGGUAGCCUAACCGUAAGGAGGGCGCCGCCGAAGGUGGGAUUGAUGACUGGGGUGAAGUCGUAACAAGGUAAC
rnacentral:rRNA from 1 species